rnacentral:rRNA from 1 species
UACAGAGGUGGCAAGCGUUGUUCGGAAUUACUGGGCGUAAAGGGCGCGUAGGCGGCCAUCUAAGUCAGACGUGAAAUCCCCCGGCUUAACCUGGGAACUGCGUCUGAUACUGGAAGGCUUGAGUAUGGGAGAGGGAUGUAGAAUUCCAGGUGUAGCGGUGAAAUGCGUAGAGAUCCGGAGGAACCCCAGAGGCGAAGGCGGCGCCCUGGCUCGCAACUGACGCUCAGACACGACAGCAUGGGGAGCGAACGGG